rfam:Butyrivibrio sp. CAG:318 genomic scaffold, scf44
AUUAAUCUUCAGGGCAGGGUGAAAUUCCCGACCGGCGGUAGAGUCCGCGAGCGGUGCGAAGCAUUGCUGAACCGGUUAGAUUCCGGUACCGACAGUACAGUCUGGAUGGAAGAAGAUGAGC